GUGUUUUUAUUUAAAACAAUGUGUAGAUUCUGAAUUAGUAGUUUUGAUUUCUCUUGAAAAAUCGGGAUAAACAUUUCUUUUAUACUUUCGUAUUUUAACAAAGAAUUUAUUAAACGUCUAUGUAUUUUCCAUUUAUCUAAUGUAUUUAUCUUUCUAUAACAAUUUUAAUAAGACGUUUGAGCAAAGCGAAGAUUUAAAUGGUGGAACUUAUUAGUAGAGUAUCUAUCCUAACUUUUAACUUUAACCUAAUUUUUUUCAAGUUAAAAGUUUGAUAUCUUAGGUUAUGCAUCAGAUAUUGCUCUCAAUAAAGUGUGUCGUAAGUAUUACGUUAUACGUAUACAUUGUAUCAAAAUUUUAUUUUUUCAAUAGAUAUAAUAUUAAUUAUUUAUUGCCUUUAUAGAAACAACAAUGGAUUACAGUCUUGACUCUCAGGCAGAUAUGGGUUUCAAAAAGAGCGUCACAAA